CGCCCGCUGCCGCCUCCAGGAAGCCCUCCCUUGCCAGGGCAGUGGAGUUGGCCGGGUCCUUCCAAAGUGCCUACGGAAAGCUUUGUCCCAUCCUUGAAAAAUUGCUAAUGGGUUUGGAGAUACAAGGUGGAGAUGACUAGCAAUCAAACUCAAAGGUGGAAGUCACAUCGAGGCAGAUGAGCAGAUGAGGGGACCUAGAGAAGAAGAGAGGUGCAAGGAGAGCCCAGCCAGCAGGAACAUCUGCCCCAGUAGGCAGCACUGCCCCACAUCAGAGUCGAGGAAAGCAAAGCUCGGAAUGGAUAAAAGAAACCUGCAAACACGGUCAGUGCUUACUGCACGUGGGCUCAGAGCACGUUACCCUCCUUCCCUGCAUGUUCCUGUGAAACGGGUUUACUGCUCUAACUCUCAGGGACACUGCGAAGACCAAACGAGAAAAUAGAAACAAACAUAAUUUAUAAACCAUAAAGUACUGACACCAAAAGA
rnacentral:antisense_RNA from 1 species